CAUUGCUCCAAGAUGGCGGCGGCGGCGGCAGCGGGAGCGCAGCUCAGCUGGGCUGGAACUGCCCUCCUGGAACUCCCCCAGCCUGCAACCUAGGAGGUGCAGGGACUGAGGCUCAGGCCAAAUCGCAACUCAGACCCAGUGAACCCAAGGCCUGAAGAGAAUUUGGAUUCAUUUACAUUGUUUUGUGGGGACUGGAGAGACAAGUAAACUCUCAGAGUAACUGUCCCCUCUGACUACCAUUUCUAAGGCAAGCCCCCUGUUUCUACUCUUGCGCCCCCUUCUGGUUUCCUGCCCUGUCUGUAAGUUGCAUGGCUUUUGUCCGUCUUUUUGUUUGUUUGUUUGUUUGUUUUGAGACAGGGUCUCACCCAGGCUAGAGUGAAGUGGAGCAAUCUCGGCUCACUGCAACCUCCGCCUCCUGAGUUCAAGUGAUUCUCACACCUCAGCCUCCCCAAUAGCUGGGAUUACAGGUGCGCACCACCAUGCCCAGCUAAUCUUUGUAUUUUUUGGUAGAGAGGGGGUUUCACCAUAUUGCCCACGCUGGUCUCU
rnacentral:sRNA from 1 species